rnacentral:tRNA from 1 species
UAAAAAAUGGUGUAAUGGAUGCACUUGAAGUUUUGAUCUUCCUGGUAGAGGUUCGAGUCCUUUUUUUUUAG